UACAAAAUAGCUUUGACUGUUGUUUAUCUCGUUUGACUGGUUUUACACCGGUCAUGUGUAGGAUUCUUAACGGCUAGCUUUUCGGUGUUAGCCAAGGCUCCGUGUAAAAUACCAUACGUUGGCCUAUUGUAGUCUUCCUUUUACUAAUUAUGGUUUCAAUGGAGAGUUGUCUCAUUGGCACCAAUUUAUUUUCGUUCAAGCUUGAUUAUGACAUCAUACUAGUAUCUCAAUUUCACAGUUUAAUUAACACUUUUAAAACAUAGAUAUGCCUAGGUUUUAAAUUUGAUAAACAGAUG
rnacentral:lncRNA from 1 species